UUUUAAUCUCUUCUGGUGGAAACUAGAAGACUGGCUGGCUCCUUUUCAUGGCUCUCAAUUCCAGACUGAUUUGUCCACAAGACCCAUCCUUAAACUUCCUGAAUCUUUCUCAAAAGUACUGGAUCAGAAAAAGCUAACAAUUGGAUUGAUUGCUGAUUUAUUUCUUUUUGAUAUUAUCUCCAACUCGAGCUGGGUUGUUAUUUGGCCAACGACAUGUUUCCAGUGGCUGGGUCUCCUUUAUGUUUUUUUGAUGCUCUAAUUGUGGCCGACGUGCAGUGGGUCUUAGGUUAUGUUAGAUCUACUACCGGAGGAUCUCUGAUUUCCUGAUUUUAUUCAAGCUUUUCAUUUAAUUUGAGCCUCCUUGGGACCUACUGGAUGAGGUCAAUGGGGCUAUCUUUAUUUUUGUUUCCUGUUCCAAUUAUGGCGACGUGCAGUGGGUCCUAGGUCUUAGCUCCACCAGCCCCCUGUGGAUCUGAUUUCCUGAUUUUAUUCAAGCUUUUCAUUUAAUUUGUGGCUUCCUGACA